CAUCUCCUCUGUGUGGCCCUGGGCACUGGCAACCCACGUUAUGCCACUGGGUAGUGGUCUUAUUCACCUGUGGGGAGAGCAGGUUUAAACCUCCCCUUCUCAUCGGUAAUCUUGGUAAAAAUCAGCCCCAUAUGGUGAUUGGCAUUAAGGAAAAAACUCCCAUUAGUAGUCUAAUUAUGGUACAAGAGGACUUUUGACCCGCCUUCCCUGCAUGGUGGCAAUACUGGCCCCUGUCGAAGUCUCCAAUUUAAGUUUUAAAAACCUCCCAUGCGACUGCUAAUCACAUCAUUGACUUGACUUCUAGUUAUGCCUUGACUUUCCAGGUAAUGAAUCCUCGGCUCAAUUCAGAGCUGGGCUGACCCCUUGGCUGUUUCAUAAAGAUGUCUAAUCCUGUGAACUGGAUGAGAAUGCUAUUGUGCCUCCGAACUGGGGAAUGCUGAUCCAGUGGAAAGUAUGAACGAACAAACCUCUGUAACUGCUCUUGUAAAAGCCAGAAAAGAAGAAAGGAAGGUUGGGUAUUGUUGUUGUUGUUGUUUUUUAAAAAAUGUUAGAAAACCUUUAAAAUAAGUGUCAAGCUAAAACGGUGAGAGUUUGGGAAUCCUUUGUAGCCCUGAACAAUUUCAUCGGAGUGAUGUUGGGGAAAACAGGACUCUUUCCUCAUUCAUCCUCUGUGGCGCCAGCCCUGUGUUUGAGGCAGCAGGGCAGAGAUUUCAAUGUCAGAUGGCCUCAAAAGCAAGUAGCUUUCUUUUCUUUUCUUUUUUUAAAGGUGUCUGGAAAGCUUCGGAACAUCUGAAAGAAUGAAAAAGAAAGACAAAAAGAAGAGAAGGUGCUUGAAUUAAAGCUGCCUUCGGGCAUUCGCAAGUUCUGGGUUGGUGGGUUUUACAAGACUACUUACUAUGCUAUUCAAUUAAAAAAAAGAGCAGUUACCAUAGCAACACCCACAUCUAAUGGCUCUUAUGCUACCUCCGAGAUACAAAGCACCUUCUUACAGCGAUGCAUUGACCAAUACAACACCGUUGUGAAAAGUUUUAUGCGCCUAGCAAUGUUUUAAAGGCGAAAGAUACAUGCUCCAACAGCCAGACGUACUUAUGUCCCCA